CGGAAUUUAUGUACGGAUACCAGAAAAAGCUUUAUAUACGGAUAUUAUAUACGGAUAUUUAUAUACGGAAUUUUCCGUAUAUACAUUCCGUAUAUAAAGUUUGCGCGUGGUGGCGGGAAAAUUAUCCAAGGAUACAUCCGUAUAUAACCCGUAGUAUCCGUAUGCAGUUAGAACGAAGUUGUUAACUGCGGAUAUUAUAUACAGAUGUGGGAAAUUAUUUUUUUAAAAUUUUUUUUUUCUGAUUAAUUGGAUGCUGAGCUGCAUAUCACACUCUGAAGAAGUGUUUUCCCCUCUUUCUCGAACCCUAACUCUGUUCUCGAACUCUAGAACUCUUGUUCUCUCUCGAACUCUCUUUCCCCUCUUCAUCAAUCCUUCAUCAACCAUUCAUUCACCUCUCCUCUCGAACAUUCAGUCAGCUCUCGUGUCGAGCCUUCGUCUGAAACCUUGAGUCACGUCCCCUCUGGAUCGUCUCUUCUCUGCAGCUGUAAAUCAUUCUUCUCUGGAGCCCUAACUCUGGUAAGUGAUUCUUCUUUUCGUUCAUGUUUAUGGUAAUCUGUAAUGGUUAGAAAUCUUUAAAAUUGAAACCUAAUCUGUGUUGAUUUGAUUUUCAUUGCCUCAUUUUUGGUUCGUUUGGGAAGACGUAGUUGGAUUUUGACGAGGCAUCGAUUGAGGCUGCUGUGUUGCGGUAUAAGCUGAGACGUAGAACUUGGUGCUGCGAAGGCCGAAGGAACCACAAAAAGGCCAAGAAAUCCAGUUCUCAAGUUCAUUGCUAGUGGUAAG
rnacentral:sRNA from 1 species